UCCGGUAAUUAUUGCGAGAAGGUCACACCCGUUCCCAUCCCGAACACGGAAGUUAAGCUUCUCAGCGCCGAUGGUAGUUGGAGGCUCUCCUCCUGCAAGAGUAGGACGUUGCCGGGU
rnacentral:rRNA from 1 species